rnacentral:ncRNA from 2 species
AUGUUAUCAAGAAAGGUGGAGGGAUUAGACCCUUUGAAACCUUAGCAACCCUUAAACUUAUUAAGAAGGUGCUAAAUUCUACGUAAUUACCGAUUCAUUUAUCGUGUAAUUGAAUAGAUAACCA